GAUGAACGCUGGCGGCGUGCCUAAUACAUGCAAGUCGAGCGAACAGACGAGGAGCUUGCUCCUCUGACGUUAGCGGCGGACGGGUGAGUAACACGUGGAUAACCUACCUAUAAGACUGGGAUAACUUCGGGAAACCGGAGCUAAUACCGGAUAAUAUAUUGAACCGCAUGGUUCAAUAGUGAAAGACGGUUUUGCUGUCACUUAUAGAUGGAUCCGCGCCGCAUUAGCUAGUUGGUAAGGUAACGGCUUACCAAGGCGACGAUGCGUAGCCGACCUGAGAGGGUGAUCGGCCACACUGGAACUGAGACACGGUCCAGACUCCUACGGGAGGCAGCAGUAGGGAAUCUUCCGCAAUGGGCGAAAGCCUGACGGAGCAACGCCGCGUGAGUGAUGAAGGUCUUCGGAUCGUAAAACUCUGUUAUUAGGGAAGAACAAAUGUGUAAGUAACUAGGCACGUCUUGACGGUACCUAAUCAGAAAGCCACGGCUAACUACGUGC
rnacentral:rRNA from 1 species